rnacentral:rRNA from 1 species
GUGGCACCAGGCGAGAAUCAUUCACAAUGGGCGAAAGCCUGAUGGUGUGACGCCGCGUGGAGGAUGAAGGUCUUCGGAUUGUAAACUCCUGUCAUGUGAGAGUAAAGCCGGACGUUAACUGCGUGCCGGUCUGAGAGUAUCACAAGAGGAAGAGACGGCUAACUCUGUG